rnacentral:lncRNA from 1 species
CUGUCUUUGCCCUUCUUGCCACCUUACCGCAGCCAGAAGGCCAAUACAUCCACUGGUGUGAACUUUGCGGUUGCAGGGUCUACCGCUAUACCCCAUGAGUUCUUCGUGAAGAACAACCUAACUCUUGAUAUCACUCCUCAGUCAAUCCAAACUCAGCUCAUUUGGUUCAAUGAGUUCUUGGAGAAGCAAGGAUGCAGAGGGGCCACCAAAAACUCUGGUUGCACAUUUGAUGAUACAUUGUUCUGGGUUGGAGAGAUCGGAGCCAAUGACUAUGCAUACACUGUUGGAUCUUCUGUGCCAGGCAGCACCAUUCAGGAGCUUGGUAUCAAGAGUAUUACCAGCUUCCUACAGGUACUGAAAUAACUGAACAUGAACUGCUUCAUAGCCAUGAGAUGUUUGUAGUCUAGUUUCUGCACAAUAAGGGCUUUUCUCUGUGAUUUCAUGAUCUUAUAAUCCAUGUGCAUUUAGCAAAUUGAACUGAACAAAUCAACAAAACUAACCUGUUUGGGAUCAGAUGAUCGAGUGUUCUAGUGUUUUUGCUGGUUUGCAGGCAUUGCUGAAGAAAGGUGUGAAGUACCUUGUGGUCCAAGGUCUGCCACCAACUGGAUGUCUCACACUGGCCUUGACACUGGCUCCUGAUGAUGACAGAGAUGCAAUAGGGUGUGUUGGGAGUGUGAACAAGCAGAGCUACAGCCACAACACCAUCCUCCAAGCCAAGCUUCAUGAUCUCAGGGUACAAUUUCCCCA